AGCGAACGCUGGCGGCGUGGAUAAGGCAUGCAAGUCGCGCGAUCCCCGCAAGGGGAUAGCGGCAAACGGGUGCGUAACGCGUAGGGAAUCUGCCCCAAAGUCUGGGAUAACACGGCGAAAGCCGGGCUAAUACCAGAUAACUCUGCAGUGUGGCAUCACACAGCAGGUAAAGGUGGCCUCGACCGAAAGGUUGCUACCGCUUUUGGAGGACCCUGCGUUCUAUCAGCUAGNGGUAGGGUAAUGGCCUACCAAGGCGACGACGGAUAGCUGGCCUGAGAGGGUGGUCAGCCACACUGGGACUGAGACACUGCCCAGACUCCUACGGGAGGCUGCAGUCGAGAAUCUUUGGCAAUGGGCGAAAGCCUGACCAUGCGACGCCGCGUGCGGGAUGACGGUUUCUCGGAUCGUAAACCGCUGUCAAGAGGGACG
rnacentral:rRNA from 1 species